rnacentral:rRNA from 1 species
GACGAACGCUGGCGGCGUGCUUAACACAUGCAAGUCGAACGGAAAGGCCCUGCUUUUGUGGGGUGCUCGAGUGGCGAACGGGUGAGUAACACGUGAGUAACCUGCCCUUGACUUUGGGAUAACUUCAGGAAACUGGGGCUAAUACCGGAUAGGAGCUCCUGCUGCAUGGUGGGGGUUGGAAAGUUUCGGCGGUUGGGGAUGGAAGCGCGGCUUAUGGGCUUGUUGGUGGGGUAGUGGCUUACAAAGGCUGAGAGGGGUAGCCGGCCUGAGAGGGGGGACGGGGACAAGGGUACUACGAGACGGCGCAGACUCGUACGUUAGGCAGCAGUGGGGAGCAUUGCGGAAUGGGCGCGAGUGUGAUACAGAGACGCCGCGUGCGGGAAGCCGGGUUUCUGGUUGUAAACAGCUUUCGCCUGUGACGAGGCGGGCGUGACGGUACCGGGUAAAGAAGCACCGGCUAACUACGUG